UAUUCCAGGUGGAGGGGUGGCCACCUUAAAAUUUUAUUAAUAAAUCAGAUAGACAACAGGGGAGGACAUAGCCCGCCUUGCCCCUGAAACCCAAGUACAUAAAACUCUCCCUAAGACACUCAACCCAACCCCAUGAAAUAAAAAAACAAUACGAAACAACAAUUUGUUGAGAAACAAAAUAACCCAAAAGGGGCUAAAUAAACUAGUUCAAGUAGAUAAACGAAUUUACCCAAUACAUCUGCACAUCAUAUACCAAUACUCACCAAACAAUUAACCGAGUGAUUACAUAAACAAAAGCAUAAUCUAAGGUUGGGGCAUAGGUGCUUACAUAAGCAAGACCAGGUACAAGCAACCUUUUUCAGUGGUUGAACAUUAUCUCAUUGUACAGGUUGCCUCUUACAUUAGUUUGGUAAAAUAAUCACAGCAUCGGUGGUUUAGAACCUUGGUUUCAAGCUAGCAAAUUCAAAUUAUUUGGCCCAUUUAUCCAAAUUAUGUACACGAGGAAUUGUCAUUCCUCUUAUCUCCUAUCCUAUGUUAAGAGUUGGAUGCUUGUAUGUCUAGCAGUAGGAAUGCAGUUUGGGCCAGGUUGGGUUGAUCAUUUGUAAAAGGGCACAACCAGGGAAAACAAGAGUUGCAAAGCAGAAAGAAAAAAAGAGAGCAGGCCAAUUGUCGGGGCUACACAACCAUAGGGGAUGGCCCAUCCCCCAUAUUCAAAAUCCCCCCAACCAAGAUGAAGGUUUUAAUCGAUCUCAAAUCUCCACCAUAGAGACCUUACAAGGAGGAAGUCUCAAGAGGUCAUCUAUCCUAUUACUACUCUUGCUCAAGCAUACUUUGGAAUUCUGAUAAGAUAUUAGUGUAAUGGUGCUAAUAUCAAGUCUUGAUUGGAAAUUAGAAAUUUUCUUAUGGUAAUGUACCAUCAUAUGAAUAAGGGAUCAAGAGCUUGAGUCCUUGACAGGGAAUAUAUGGAAUCUCUCUAUGAUAUCUGAAAAGAAAAGAAAGGAAAAGAACAAAAGAAAACCAAAAAGUGUAAAAUCUCACAAUAAUACUUACCAAUAAAUUUAGAAGUUCAUGACCCAUUAUUAGAUGAAAAUAUCAUGUUAUAUGGAAGUUUAAUCUGCUACUAACAGCAAUGUCUGUGUGCCAUCUGUUCCACAAAAUUCAGAACACAGCAUGCAGAAUUCUUGUUUUUGGAGCAUUUAAACUUUAAGAGUGGUGUUUGAGUAACUAACAAAUCCACGGUUCAACUUAAUUCAGAAAUUAACAAGUAGCGAAACAGAUCAGCAACUGGAGAGAAAAUUUCAACGAUCCAACAGAAGGCCUAAUCACUUGAAUUUGCCAGCUUGAAACCAAGAGUUCUAAACCACCUAUGCUGUUUUUACUCCACCAGGCUAAGCUUUGCGCUUCAAGGCCCAUUUUGCGUGUUGCCCAGUUGCAUCUUUGGCUGUGCCUUUCUUCUUAGGCAUACGUGAUGCAUCAGCCCCAUUGCCGUGGAAGUUCUUUGGAGUUACAGGCCCUGCUUCUUUACGUUCUGCCUGAAUAUAGCCAUUAUGUACUACUUAGAGCAAUCUGCUUCACACCGUUGACAAAUUGGAGGUCCAAGAA